CCCGGGCCUUGUACACACCGCCCGUCACACCACGAAAGUUGGCAACACCCGAAGCCGGUGGGCUAACCCGCAAGGGAGGCAGCCGUCGAAGGUGGGGUCAGCGAGUUGGGGUG
rnacentral:rRNA from 1 species